GCCCCGUCUAUCUGCUGUGUGCGAGAGAGUUCUUGACAAGUGCUUGGCACCUUCAACAGCUGCGGAGGGGUGUGAUAACAUGACUAUGAUUUUAGUGAAGUUUAAAAAACCCAUAGUUUCCAAAGCCGACGACACUGCUGACAGAUCAACAUCCAUCAUAUCAGAAAUCGAGAUCAAGUGACGUCUUUGCUAAUCUGAAAUCACUAUUGAAUGGUUUCUGCAUUCACUUGUUCAUAUGUGGAAUGCCUAGUUAGCCUAAAAUUAGUUUUUGGUUAACGGGAAAGCAAAUAUUUGUAGCCAGGGUAUUGAAGGG
rnacentral:misc_RNA from 1 species